rnacentral:rRNA from 1 species
CGAACGGGUGCGUAACACGUGAACAACCUGCCCUCGUGUGGGGGAUAGCCAUGCUAACGCGUGGGUAAUACCGCAUACGGUCUUUCUGGGGAGUCCUGGGAAGAAGAAAGCUCCGGCGCACGGGGAGGGGUUCGCGGCCUAUCAGCUAGUUGGCGGGGUAAUGGCCCACCAAGGCGACGACGGGUAGCUGGUCUGAGAGGAUGGCCAGCCACAUUGGGACUGAGAGACGGCCCAG